UCGACGUGGAUACUCCCGGGGAGGUCACUCUCCCCGGGCUCUGUCCAGGAGGCACGGAGGAACACAGGGCUCAGGGCCCCGUGACGGACAGUCCUUUUCCACAACGUCGUCGGAGAUGAAGCCGGGCCGGAGCCUGUGCCUGCACAUUCCUACAGCUUCUCAGAGUCCGUGGACAAUGACUGCGGAGACAAACCAUGCAGGAAACAGAC
ensembl:snoRNA SNORA73 Small nucleolar RNA SNORA73 family